GCUGGGUGUGGUGGCAUUCGCCUAAAGUCCCAGCUACUUGGGAAACUGAGAUUGGAGGAUUACUUGAGCCCAGGAGUUCUGGGCUGCAGUGUGCUAUGCCAAUUGUGUCCACAAUAAGUUCGACAUCAAUGUGGUGACCUCCCCAGAGUGGGUGACCACCACGUUGCUUAAGGAGGGGUGAACUGAUCCAGAUCAGAAACACAGCAGGUCAAAAUUCCCGUGCUGAUCCAGUUUCUUCUAUGGUAUUGUCUCCUGCAUUUGUUUUGCUUGGGCUCAGGGCCUGAGAAGGCAUUUUGCUCCUUCUCU
rnacentral:SRP_RNA from 1 species